AUGCCCUUCGGGGUGAUGGGGACUCACAGGAGACCGCCGGGGUCAACUCGGAGGAAGGUGGGGACGACGUCAAGUCAUCAUGCCCCUUAUGUCUUGGGCUGCACACGUGCUACAAUGGCAGGUACAAUGAGCUGCGAAGCCGUGAGGUGGAGCGAAUCUCAAAAAGCCUGUCUCAGUUCGGAUUGGGGUCUGCAACUCGACCCCAUGAAGUCGGAGUUGCUAGUAAUCGCAGAUCAGCAAUGCUGCGGUGAAUACGUUCCCGGGCCUUGUACACACCGCCCGUCACGUCACGAAAGUCGG
rnacentral:rRNA from 2 species